rnacentral:SRP_RNA from 1 species
GCCGGGCGUGGUGACGGGCACCUGUAAUCCUAGCUACUUGGGAGGCUGAGGCAGAAGAAUCGCUUGAACCCGGGAGGCAGAGAUUGCAGUGAGCCAAGAUCGUGUCACUGCACUCCAGCCUGGGCAACAGAGCGAGACUCUGUCUCAA